UGGGAAGAUAGCUCAGUUGGCAGAGCACGAGACUCUUAAUCUGAGGGUGAUGAGUUCAAGCCCCGCAUUGGGCAAAA